CACGGUGGGUAUGGUUGUCCUGCGAGAGAACGUACUGUGCUGGUGAUUUGGUCCUGACGGGUGCUGGUGGGUCCUGAUUCUGUGCUGGUGGGUUUGUUUACAUUGUAUCAGAACGGCAAUAAAACGACUGUUUUGUUGCUUAAUUUUUCUCUGAUGCGUCAUAAGUACCAUGCAAAGUAUAUUUCAACAAUAUAAAAUUGCAAAAGUCGUGCAAGUUCGUUAAACGGAAUUGUCCUGACGAUGUGCUGGUGAUAAGAAAAACGGUCCUGGUUCUGUGCUCCUAUGUCCUGGUUCUGUGCCUUUAUAUUUUAGUUAAAAGUGGCAAAUAUUCAAGAUCAUUGAUGCUGUACUGUUAUUGACUACUAGUAAUUAACUGUUGUCUGCUUUCUUGAAAUUGACAUUGUUAUGAAUCUGUUUACUGUUAUUAUGAGAGAAAAAAAAACCUAUUUUUUAUUCUUUUUAAAAUUAACUGUGAUUUUAUUUAUUG
rnacentral:lncRNA from 1 species